CUAUCGUUGUCUCAUUUUACCCUUAUUUACCCUUUAAAUGAUUAAUUAAAGUAUCCUUUAUUAGGACUUUUUUGCUGAUGCAGCAGCGGUUCAUCAAUUAAUAGAAAUAGAACAACAGAACGCAGAAGCCUAUAUACCUACCUACCAUUCAUUAAAAUCCGGUCGAAGAAAAGGGGAAAUAAUUAUUGUUUGGUAUUAUAAAAUGGUGGGCUGCAACAUAAACAUCAAGACAACAAAAAAGAAAAAGAAUCUAUUGGUUGUGGCAUUUUAAAGAGGAUUCACACUUUCAACCAAAAAACAAAAGGACACUCUAACAAAGCUGAAAGACUUACGUAGAAAAAAAAAAGCAAAACAAGAUUCUAACCAGUGAAUAAGACGAAUGCAAAGUCGCACUUCUUCGCCUUGAAGGCUCUUGCUAUGCGAUGUAGAUGGACGACACGAAGAAACGGUCGUCCCUGUCAGUCGGUUGGUCGUCGUUGGAAUUUAAUGUUGAUAGUAUAAGAAGUUCUCUCUCAUGACCAACCAAGCAUUCAACUACUAUACCUCUACCCUCUCGAAUGUUUCAACUCCAAUUUCCAUCAUGAUGGUCUGCUCUUAGUUACUUAAUGUAAAAAGGAAAGGAAUAUAAACUUUUGGCGGAGGUGCUUUGUGGGGUUGGUCGCGGAAUGGUGUGGUGGUGAUGGUUGAUGGUCAGCGAAAGUUUAAGAAAUAACUCAAGAAGCCAAUGAGGAAAAGCCAAUUGGAGUAGAAGGACAAAGUGGCAGAACUGAGUAACUGAGCAACACAAAAAAAAAAUGAGGAAUGUGGAAAAAAAAUUAUACUUUUGUA